rnacentral:rRNA from 1 species
AACGAACGCUGGCGGCGGGGUUUAGGCAUGCAAGUCGAGCGAGAAAGGGGCAACCCGAGUAAAGCGGCGUAAGGGUGAGUAAUAGGUAGUCUACGUAUCUUCCAGACGCGGAUAAUUUCCCGAAAGGGAUUGUAAUACGCGAUGAGACCACGCGGGAUCCGUCCUGUGGGGCCAAAGGUUCGGGAUCCUUCGGGACCGAGCGCUGGAUGAGCGGACGACCUCCGAUUAGCUAGUUGGCGGGGUAACGGCCCACCAAGGCGAUGAUCGGUAGCCGGCCUGAGAGGGUGUCCGGCCACACUGGGACUGAGACACUGCCCAGACUCCUACGGGAGGCUGCAGUCGCGAAUCAUUCACAAUGGGCGCAAGCCUGAUGAUGCCACGCCGCGUGCGGGAUGAAGCUCUUCGGAGUGUAAACCACUGUUGCCCGGGACGAACAGCUCGAAUUCUCGAGCCUGACGGUACCGGGUGAGGAACGCACCGGCUAACUCCGUGCCAGCCGCCGCGGU